CCCUUAGAUGAUUUGGGCUGCACGCGCGCUACACUGACACAGGCAACGAGCUUUCCUUUACCGAAAGGUAUGGGUAAUCUUUUGAAACUGUGUCGUGCUGGGGAUAGAUCCUUGCAAUUUUUGAUCUUAAACGAGGAAUUCCUAGUAAGCGCGAGUCAUCAACUCGCGUUGAUUACGUCCCUGCCCUUUGUACACACCGCCCGUCGCUACUACCGAUUGAAUGGCUUAGUGAGGCCUCAGGAUCCGCGCUUAAUGUGUGGAGAAUUUGGACAAACUACGUCAUUUAGAGGAAGUAAAAGUCGUAACA
rnacentral:rRNA from 1 species